CUGAACUUAAGCAUAUCAAUAAGCGGA
rnacentral:ncRNA from 3 species